UAUAUUAUUAUUAUUAUAUUACUAUAUAUUAUUAUUAUAUGUAACUGUACUAUACUAUACUAUAACUACAACUAACUUAAACGUUCUACAUACAAAGGAGGAACUAAAGCUUGUCUUUAAAAACCAAAAAGAGGAUAAGAGAAAUAAUAAGAGUUGCCCGGCGUUUCAUUUCUAUAAUCAUCGCUUCAAACGAGCCGCCAUGCCGUCGCUAAUUGAAAUGCACGGAUCUGUUUUUCUCGAAGAUGCGACACGACGCAACGCGAUGCAACGCGACGGAAGCGGUGGUCCCUACCUAUUAAUAUCGAGAGUAUAUUUCAAUUAAUUCGAAUAAAUCGGUAAGCGACACGGCGCGAGUGUGCGUGCGCGUGCGUCGAAAGGAGGCAGAAAGAAAAAAAGAUGACCGCCGUGGCGCUUGCGCGAGGGGCGUCGCGACGACCGCCGACGCCUUCUUGAAUGAAACCGUCGCAGUCAGUUCGCAUCAAGGCGUCCACCUUCGCUUCCACUUUCACGGAUUUUCUAAUUGCCCAGUCGACCAACGGCAAGUGACAUUCCACGGUGAUAAGUCGUUCGAUCAUGUUUCGUCUUGGCCAUCGAAUCAGGUCGGCGGUUAUGCGAACAUUGUCGAUUUGGGCUUGUCGUUCUCGUGGAUAUCUCGGGGACAGAUUCUACUUGUUGUCCAUGCAGAGAAGGACGGGCAAGAUCCUCGUCUGACAAAGACCGAUGCUUGCAUUACGAAAGAGGAUUACUUAAUCUGAAGAAGAAAAACGGCGCUCCAGUUUCUAAGGACGGACGAACAAACUGAACGAACAGAGAUAUAUGAGAAUAUGGUUGAAUGGAUUCAACGAUAGCUUCUGUUGUUUCAACCUGACGAAUCCCGUGGCUCUUGAGUGCUUUUCGGCACGAGGAAUUCGUAAAUAUUUCGCUCAUAUGCUAAAAUAAAGCGCCUCGUAGAGUGUGUCAGGUCUUGUAAGCCUCGUUCGCUUAUUCAUCGGUUGUUAUAUUGAAAAUCGAGAUCUCCGAUAAAAUAACUUUCACCAGUUGAUAUAUUUAUCAUUUUCUUAUACAUGCUAAAACUGCUGGGGUAAACAAAGUGACUAAUUCAUAAUAUUACAUCGAAAGUUUAUAAAUUGGCAGUGGUGAAUUUUUAGAAGUUUCAAUAAUAUUUUCAGUCAAAUAUAUCAAUAAGAACUUAUUUUUCACUUUGCCAAAUUUACAUGAUAUUCAAAUGAUUCUAAUAUUAAAAUACACUAAAUAUCUUAACGGAUUCGUUACUAUAUGUUCAUGACGUUGUUUAUUGGCAUACAUACGGUGAAAAUGUUUACGCUUGUAUCACAUAAUAAUGUUAUACUUUAAUUUCACGGUUCUCUAACGUAUGUUUCAUGUUUUAAUCAAGCCUCAUAGUCAAACAAGAUAAUCAUAUCCAUCGCUCAUACGUAAGAAACAGCUAUGUAUACGAUUCAAUAAAAUUCUUACAAAAGUUUCAACUGUUCUACUUGGUUCCAUAAAUCUGUCCUGAUAUACUAUCCUUCGAUAAAUAAACUAUAUUUUUACACCCGCACUGGCAGAAGUAGAAAAAUAAAAAAUACAAACACAAAUACAUGUGGGAAACGUGAAAAUAUCGUACCGGUGUGGAACUAUUUUAACACUGUUUAAAAUUCGCGUGAAAACAAAAAAAAAAAGAAAAAAGAAAAAGAAAAAAGUGCGGCACGUGGGAUACGAUAAGAAAUAUUUCCAUAAAUUACAACGAUAAAUUG
rnacentral:misc_RNA from 1 species